rnacentral:sRNA from 1 species
CUGGGCUGGCCGCCGGGAUGUUGCCCUACACAGUGAACUUCAAGGUGUCGGCGCGCACCCUCACGGGGGCCCUCAACGCCCACAACAAGGCGGCGGUGGACUGGUGAGGGCGCCGGGCUUCCAGGGGCUGGCAAGGUUUAAUUGCUUAUGGAUGUCAUUCACUUGUGGUAGUGGUUGAUUCCAUUACUGCCCAAACUCUUCAAGUUUUAGAAAAGCAUAAAGCUGAUGUUGUCAAGGUUAAAUGGGCCAGGGAAAACUAUCACCAUAACAUUGGCUCACCAUAUUGCUUGCGCUUAGCUUCUGCUGAUGUCAAUGGGAAGAUCAUCGUCUGGGAUGUAGCAGCAGGAGUAGCUCAGUGUGAGAUCCAAGAGCAUGCCAAGCCUAUCCAGGUGCUCACCAGCGAGGGUAUUGUUUUCAUCUCAGACUUCUCCCCAUCCAAGCCUCCCUCAGGCCCUGGGAAAAAAGUUUACAUAUCCAGCCCACACUCUAGCCCAGCUCAUAACAAGCUGGCCACAGCCACAGGUGCCAAGAAAGCUCUAAAUAAAGUAAAAAUUUUAAUCACUCA